GAUCAAAACGAAUGUCAAACCUUCGGUCGAUGUGGCAGUGCUAACUGUGUUAAUACAUUGGGAAGUUACUACUGCGGUUGCAACCAAGGCUACGUACUCUCUCAGUCACGUUCGUCCUGUCGAGAUGUCAACGAGUGCGUCACAGGGCARAGUCCAUGUUCGUAUGGCUGUGUAAACAACAGGGGAGGGUUCAGUUGCUCUUGUCCUACAAACUACUACCCAAUAGGGGGAGGCCAUUGUUUAUCACCUUUCGGCGAGGCCUGUUACGAGUGCGCUCUAGCGAGAGGAGAGGUUCCAACUGGUGGAGUACCACUAGUAGACCAAACCACAGCAAGACCAGCUGGACAGGUUGGCAGCUCAAGUCAGAAAUUAUUUGCUGACCAGGCCCGUCGAGGCCAAGGAGGACAGUCG